UGAGACACGGACCAAACUCCUACGGGAGGCAGCAGUGAGGAAUAUUGGUCAAUGGCCGAGAGGCUGAACCAGCCAAGUCGCGUGAAGGAUGAAGGAUCUAUGGUUUGUAAACUUCUUUUAUACGGGAAUAAAGUGAGUCACGUGUGAUUUUUUGUAUGUACCGUAUGAAUAAGCAUCGGCUAACUCCGUGCCAGCAGCCGCGGUAAUACGGAGGAUGCGAGCGUUAUCCGGAUUUAUUGGGUUUAAAGGGUGCGUAGGUGGUCUUUUAAGUCAGCGGUGAAAGUUUGUGGCUCAACCAUAAAAUUGCCAUUGAAACUGGGAGACUUGAGUAUGUUUGAGGUAGGCGGAAUGCGUGGUGUAGCGGUGAAAUGCAUAGAUAUCACGCAGAACUCCGAUUGCGAAGGCAGCUUGCCAAGCCAUAACUGACACUGAAGCACGAAAGCGUGGGUAUCAAACAGGAUUAGAUACCCUGGUAGUCCACGCAGUAAACGAUGAUUACUAGGAGUUUGCGAUAUAAUGUAAGCUCUACAGCGAAAGCGUUAAGUAAUCCACCUGGGGAGUACGCCGGCAACGGUGAAACUCAAAGGAAUUGACGGGGGCCCGCACAAGCGGAGGAACAUGUGGUUUAAUUCGAUGAUACGCGAGGAACCUUACCCGGGCUUAAAUUGCAGAUGAAUUACGGUGAAAGCCGUAAGCCGCAAGGCAUCUGUGAAGGUGCUGCAUGGUUGUCGUCAGCUCGUGCCGUGAGGUGUCGGCUUAAGUGCCAUAACGAGCGCAACCCUUGCCGUUAGUUACUAACAAGUAAAGUUGAGGACUCUAGCGGGACUGCCAGCGUAAGCUGUGAGGAAGGCGGGGAUGACGUCAAAUCAGCACGGCCCUUACAUCCGGGGCGACACACGUGUUACAAUGGCGUGGACAAAGAGCAGCCACUUGGUGACAAGGAGCUAAUCUCCAAACCACGUCUCAGUUCGGAUCGGAGUCUGCAACUCGACUCCGUGAAGCUGGAUUCGCUAGUAAUCGCGCAUCAGCCAUGGCGCGGUGAAUACGUUCCC
rnacentral:rRNA from 1 species